CGGGGUUUUGCCAUUUUCACUCUUGCUUCUGAAGAAGUAAGCAAUAAAGCUUUUGCCGCAGAAGAUUCCGGUUGUCCUGAGCGUGUUCUUGCCGGCAGACACAAAAGCUCGGGCAAUAGGGUUCAAGCGAGGAUAUGAUGGAAAAGAUUGCUGGAUUAUAUGAUCCGGAUAAAACCUUGGGUCGAGGUCAUUUUGCAGUGGUCAAACUUGCCAGGCAUGUCUUCACAGGUGAGAAGGUGGCAGUGAAAAUCAUUGACAAGACGAAGCUGGAUACUCUAGCCACUGGUCAUCUCUUCCAGGAAGUGAAGUGCAUGAAACUAGUGCAGCACCCCAACAUUGUGCGUCUCUAUGAAGUCAUAGACACCCAGACCAAACUUUAUCUCAUUCUAGAACUUGGAGAUGGAGGAGAUAUGUUUGAUUAUAUAAUGAAGCACAAGGAGGGUCUUAAUGAAGAUUUGGCCAAGAAGUACUUUGCUCAGAUAGUUAAUGCUAUAUCUUAUUGCCAUAAACUCCAUGUGGUCCACAGAGACUUGAAACCAGAGACAUGGACGAGAACCUGCCACCCAAGCUGAGCCGGCUGAAGAUGAACAUUGCCUCACCAGGCACAGUGCACAAGUGCUACCACCACAGGAAAAGCCAGGGCCGGGGCUCUAGCUGCAGCAGCUCUGAGACCAGCGAUGAUGACUCCGAGAGCCGGCGGAGGCUGGACAAGGACAGCGGCUUUGGUUACUCGUGGCACCAGCAUGAGGGGCCACCAGGGAGCGAGAGCGAUGGCGGCCAGAGCAAGCCUAGCAGCAGUGGCGGUGUGGACAAGGCCAGCCCAGCGUGAAGGUGCAGGAGAAGUCUAUGUAGAAGAUGUGCAUCAGCACCCCAGGCCACAGACCCUCCGCUGACCUUGACCCGGUGAGGACCAAGAAGCUGAGGAACAACGCGCUCCAGCUACCUCUGUGCGAAAAGACCAUCUCCGUGAACAUCCAGCGCAGCCGCAAGGACGGCUCUGCGCCUCCAGCCCUGCCAGCCGCUACCAUGUCAUCUGACCUGUAAAGCGCGCUCACUUCAUCUGUUCUGACGUGACAAUGGUCUUUGUGCAUGCUGCUACACGCUACUUUUCUUUUCCAGACGAAAAGUGUACUGCGUGAUUUUACAUUCAUGAUUUUCAGUGUGGUUGGCCAGGAUGAAAUUGUGUUAUUUGGAACCCAACGUAAAUGGAGCGCUUAGAAAUCCAUGUUCUGCACUUAACCUGGAGGGAAAAUGCUUUCGUUUCCUUGUGAAAAGCCCAAAUUCCUGUCUUGACCUCCGGUGAUAGGGAAACUCCAUGCUCUGAGGCACACUAGUGCCCGAGACAGAACCAAAGCAAUAACGUGGUGAUGCCCACAGGCCUGGGAGGAGCAACCCCUGCUGCCAGCCACCCAGGGCCUGUGCACCGAGAACCUUUGAGCCACGGUUUGAACGCCCACACCUGUUUGUCUUAACCAAUAGUGUGAAAGCAGUUGGGGUUCUUAUCUUUUCACUGACAG
rnacentral:lncRNA from 1 species